AUUGAACGCUGGCGGCAGGCCUAACACAUGCAAGUCGAACGGUAACAGGAAGCAGCUUGCUGCUUUGCUGACGAGUGGCGGACGGGUGAGUAAUGUCUGGGAAACUGCCCGAUGGAGGGGGAUAACUACUGGAAACGGUAGCUAAUACCGCAUAACGUCGCAAGACCAAAGAGGGGGACCUUAGGGCCUCUUGCCAUCGGCUGUGCCCAGAUGGGAUUAGCUAGUAGGUGGGGUAACGGCUCACCUAGGCGACGAUCCCUAGCUGGUCUGAGAGGAUGACCAGCCACACUGAAAGUGAGACACGGUCCAGACUCCUACGGGGGGCAGCAGUGGGGAAUAUUGCACAAGGGGCGCAAGCCUGAUGCAGCCAUGCCGCGUGUAUGAAGAAGGCCUUCGGGUUGUAAAGUACUUUCAGCGGGGAGGAAGGGAGUAAAGUUAAUACCUUUGCUCAUUGACGUUACCCGCAGAAGAAGCACCGGCUAACUCCG
rnacentral:rRNA from 1 species